rnacentral:misc_RNA from 1 species
AGGUAGGCCUCGCUCGCCUC